rfam:Camelus ferus unplaced genomic scaffold scaffold688, whole genome shotgun sequence.
GGGGGGAUAACUCAGUGGCAGAAUGCAUGCUUAGCAUGCACAGGGUCUUAGGUUCAAUCCCCAGUCCCUCCA